rnacentral:rRNA from 1 species
UUCAAAACUGCAGAUCUUGAGUGGUGCAGAGGCNNGCGGAANUNNNGGUGUAGCGGUGGAAUGCGUAGAUAUCGGGAGGAACACCAGUGGCGAAGGCGGCCUGCUGGGCACUAACUGACGCUGAGGCUCGAAAGCAUGGGUAGCAAACAGGAUUAGAUACCCUGGUAGUCCAUGCCGUAAACGAUGAUUACUAGGUGUGGGAGGAUUGACCCCUUCCGUGCCGCAGUUAACACAAUAAGUAAUCCACCUGGGGAGUACGACCGCAAGGUUGAAACUCAAAGGAAUUGACGGGGGCCCGCACAAGCAGUGGAGUAUGUGGUUUAAUUCGACGCAACGCGAAGAACCUUACCAGGUCUUGACAUCGAGUGACGGCUCAAGAGAUUGGGCUUUCCUUCGGGACACAAAGACAGGUGGUGCAUGGUUGUCGUCAGCUCGUGUCGUGAGAUGUUGGGUUAAGUCCCGCAACGAGCGCAACCCUUAUCUUUAGUUACUACGCAAGAGGACUCUAAAGAGACUGCCGUUGACAAAACGGAGGAAGGUGGGGAUGACGUCAAAUCAUCAUGCCCUUUAUGACCUGGGCUACACACGUACUACAAUGGCCGUUAACAAAGAGAAGCGAAGCCGCGAGGCAGAGCAAACCUCAUAAAAACGGUCUCAGUUCGGACUGCAGGCUGCAACUCGCCUGCACGAAGCCGGAAUUGCUAGUAAUCGCGGAUCAGCAUGCCGCGGUGAAUACGUUCCCGGGCCUUGUACACACCGCCCGUCACACCAUGAGAGCCGGGGGGACCCGAAGUCGGUAGUCUAACCGCAAGGAGGACGCCGCCGAAGGUAAAACUGGUGAUUGGGGUGAAGUCGUAACAAGGUAGCCGUAA